GAUGAACGCUGGCGGCGUGCCUAAUACAUGCAAGUCGAGCGAACGGACGAGAAGCUUGCUUCUCUGAUGUUAGCGGCGGACGGGUGAGUAACACGUGGAUAACCUACCUAUAAGACUGGGAUAACUUCGGGAAACCGGAGCUAAUACCGGAUGAUAUUUUGAACCGCAUGGUUCAAAAGUGAAAGACGGUCUUGCUGUCACUUAUAGAUGGAUCCGCGCUGCAUUAGCUAGUUGGUAAGGUAACGGCUUACCAAGGCAACGAUGCAUAGCCGACCUGAGAGGGUGAUCGGCCACACUGGAACUGAGACACGGUCCAGACUCCUACGGGAGGCAGCAGUAGGGAAUCUUCCGCAAUGGGCGAAAGCCUGACGGAGCAAUGCCGCGUGAGUGAUGAAGGUCUUCGGAUCGUAAAACUCUGUUAUUAGGGAAGAACAUAUGUGUAAGUAACUGUGCACAUCUUGACGGUACCUAAGCAGAAAGCCACGGCUAACUACGU
rnacentral:rRNA from 1 species